GGGCAUUACAUGCCGUAAACUUCAUACCUGUGGUCCAUAACUGUUCCCAGUCAGCCAUCAUUAUGUUAUGACCAACAUCUUGUGCCCAUUUAAUCAUAACAGAUUUCACCGUUUCAUCCUGAGUAUUCCAUUUCAACAGCAAGUUAUACAUCUUUGACAAAAUCUUAGUUUUGGGUUCUAAUAGUUCUGUUUCUAAUUUUGAUUUUUCCACCUGGAAACCAAUUUUCUUAUCCAGAUUAUAUGCCUCCAUUAUCUGAUAAUAAUGAAGCCAGUCUCGCACUUUGUUUUUUAAUUUCUCAAAACUCUGCAAUUUCAGUCUAUCUCCAUCUUGUUCCAAAAUUUCCCAAUAUUUCGGCCAUUUGGCCUCCAUAUUGAGCUUUUUCAAAGCUUUUGCUUCCAUCGGUGACAGCCACCUUGGAGUUUUGUUUUCCAAUAAGUCCUUAUAUCUUAUCCAAACAUUAAACAAUGCUUUCCUGACAAUAUGGUUUUUAAAUGCUUUAUGCGCUUUGACCUUAUCAUACCACAGAUAUGCAUGCCAUCCAAAUACAUUGUUAAAACCUUCUAAAUCCAAAAUGUCAGUAUUUUCAAGAAGCAACCAUUCUUUCAACCAGCAGAAAGCUGCUGAUUCAUAGUAAAGUUUAAAGUCUGGCAGGGCAAAUCCACCUCUUUCCUUUGCAUCUGUUAAUAUUUUAAAUUUUAUUCUAAGCUUCUUGCCCUGCCAGACAAAUUUAGAAAUAUCUCUCUGCCACCUCUUGAAACAGUCCAUUUUGUCCACAAUUUGCAAUGUUUGAAACAAAAACAACAUUCUAGGCAAUACAUUCAUUUUUACCGCAGCAAUACGGCCCAGCAGUGAAAGCUUCAAAUUUGACCAAAUUUCCAAAUCUUUUUUCACUUCAGCCCAGCAUUUUUCAUAAUUAUCUUUAAAUAAGUUCCCAUUUUUUGCUGUCAUGUUAAUCCCCAAAUAUUUAACUUUCUUAACCACUGUUAAACCUGUCUCAUUCUGAAACCUCUCUCUCUCCAUUGGUGUUAAAUUUUUCUCUAAAACCUUGGUCUUUAACUUAUUCAACUUAAAUCCUGCAACUUGACCAAAUUCUUGAAUCAGUUCUAAAACUCUUUUGGUACUAGAUUCUGGCUCCUGUAACGUCAAUACUAAGUCAUCUGCAAAUGCUCUCAGUUUGUACUGUUUGGCUCCGACCUGUAUACCUUUAACCAACCGGUCCCUUCUAAUCAUGUUCAGCAGAACCUCCAGGACCGAUAUAAAAAGCAAUGGGGAAAUUGGGCAACCUUGUCUUGUCCCUUUUUCUAUCUUAAAUUCUUCCGUCACCACAUUAUUUACAAUUAGUUUAGCCUUUUGUUCUGAAUAAAUUGCACUUAUACUGUUUUCAAAACCUUGGCCUACCCCCAUCCCCUGUAGGUUCUUCUUCAUGAAACUCCAAGAGAUAUUAUCAAAAGCCUUCUCCGCGUCCACAAAUAUCAAAACAGCUUUGGUAUUUAUGUUCACUUCUAGUUUUUCCAAAAUAUCAAUUAUAUUCCUCAAAUUAUUGGACAAGUGUCUUCCCAGGAGAAAGCCCACUUGGUCUUUAUGAAUCUCUUCCAUCAAUACUUUUUUCAAUCUCUUGGCCAAAAUGUCUGCAAAAAUUUUGUAAUCCACAUUAAGUAACGAUAUGGGGCGGUAGUUCUUAAGCUGAGUCUUUUCAGUCUCUGUCUUCGGUAUAAGUGUAAUGUACGCCUCUUUCCAAGACUCUGGUGCCCUUUUCCCUUCCAAUAUUUCAUUGCAGACUUCCUUUAAAGGUUGUAAUAGCCACUCUUUCAAAGAUCUAUAAUAUCUAGAAGUCAGCCCAUCCGGUCCUGGAGAUUUGCCUAAUUGCAUGUUUUGAAUGGCACCUUCUACUUCCUGUUCAGAUAUUUUAUAGUUCACAGGCCUAUGGCCUUUAUAAAUGUCUCAGGGAGCAGGUCUUGUUCUCUUCCCCCCUCUCUUAUUAUUACAUCAUCUGUCUUGGGAGACAAUGAAGGAGUGUGCCUUUUGCGGGUGAAGUCACACUGUUGGAAAUUUACAGAGCCUGCUGUGGCUGUAAAGACCAACACGGGACAGACAUGUUUUGUUGCAGCUGGGGCAGAUGAAGGUGUCUGGUUGUGCUGCUGCAGAUGAACCAUGGUGUUUCUUCUUUCUGUGCUCCUUCAGCGGUCAUUCAUCAUUUGGUCUCUGCUGAGGAUGUACGACCUGACUGUCUGUCUCCAGGCACUGCAUCAUCCACUCUGUAUACAUGGGCAACUGCAGGUGGAAGACAUCAUGCGCUUUUUACUGUAUUGCCCACUAUACACUGGACCCAAGAGGCGCUUUCUUACCCUACCGUCCAUACAGGAAAGAUAUCUCUCCCCAGCAGAGAUGAAGCCCUAUGGCUUCUUAGCAAUGUAAACACUUCAAUGACUCACAAAGUCACCCUUUUUGCUCUGGCAGCCAAAAAGAUCAGAAAGAAGGCCCUGGACUAUAUAGCAGUGAACUGUAAGAUCUAAACAGAGAUCUAAAUGGAGACUAUUGUUUGUGGUGUGGCAUCUCUUUUGCUUGUAUUUAUUUCCGAUUCAUAUUGGAAUGGCUAGUACAAUAAAGUUAUUUGGAUUGGAUUAGAUACAAGGGAUUCCCGCAUGGCGGGGUUGAUGCUGCAAACCAGUUAUUCUGUGUUUUUAUGCUGUAAAUCGCCCUGUGUAUAUCAUUUCAAUCAACAUCAACUACAUUUGCGUGUUCAGACCCAGAGAUCUCCACCCUAAAUAAACACACAUUUGACUCAAAUUUUAGUUUUGGUUUUUGGCAGACUUUAGGUUGCAACUUUAUUGAUUACAGAAAAGUGAGUGGUUGCAUAGGCUCUGGUUCGACUAGCUCCCUGAACCCUUGCAGGUAGCGCUGACCCAGAGCUCUAUCAUAGGUCAGCCAAGGGUGAACACCUGAGGUAGGUGGAAAGCCCGGGAACAGAUUACCGUAUUUUUCGCUCUAUAGGACGCACAUUUUCCCCUCCAAAAAUUAAGGGGAAAUUUGUGUGCGUCCUAUGGAGCGAAUGCAGGCUCCUUGGCUUCAGUGAUAGCAACGCGAAGCCUCCGAAGCGCAGAGGGAGCGCUCCCUCCUCGCUCCUUGGCUUCGCAUUGCUUUCGCUGAAGCCUGGAGAGUGAGAGGGGUCGGUGUGCACCAACCCCUCUCACUCUCCAGGCUUCAGGGAUAGCCGCCUGAAGCCUUUGGAGCACAGCGCGAGUUCCCGCUGCGUUCCAGAGGUUUCAGGUUUCUUUCGCUGAAGCCAGGAGAGCAAGACUAUCCAGUGCCUAUCCACAAUCUUACAAGUUGUGAUGGUUUGCUAUGCAGCAGGUGAAACCCAAAUGGCAACAGCCAAUCAGCCAAGUGGGGAACAUUUCUGCUGUGCCCCGUCCAAAUGACAGGCAUCACACGACGGCAUAGCGAGGUCAAGUGCACAGCCCUAAAUAUAGGGAGAGGUGGGCGGGUGUUCUGAUGCACACACUGAAAGAGGAAGCUCUGGGUCACAUGCAUAGGUAUAUAGUUAUAUAGGUCCCUCAAUCAGUUUAGACUGCACCCCAUUGGCCAGAUUAAACCUAGCAACAAGGGACCUACCAAUCGGGUGUUGUGGUUGUCCAAUAAACCCACCCACAACCGGGAAGUCAGCCUCCAGGUCUCAGUGCAACACGUGACCUCUUUUAGGGAGGACACAAUUUUUCUAGGCACAAGGGUUAGACAGGGAAGGUGACAGAAAAAAGGCAGAGGCACAGGAGGAGGAGAGGAGGAAAGAAAGAGACCCACAAUAAGACCUGCCAUAAGGAGUUAAAUUCCUCUGCAGUCUUUCAGCCCCUUUUCUGUUAUAUUAUGUGUAUGGCUUUUCUGUUUUUUUUGUGGGGUUUUUGAAUUUUUUUUUACUAAAGAUACAGUGAUCAGUAAAACCACAUUUAAAGUGAAUUGGGGUGAAAAGAAACCCUUCCAGUCCAAUGUCUUGAAGUUUAUGUACCGCCCAAGUGAUUUUUUAUAUAUAUAAAAAACACCAGUUCAAUUAAUAGCCCGUGUUAUGUUGAUGCAGCUGUUAAGAAAAAGUAUCCCAUGGGGGUUAAACCUUGGGGUCACUACAGACCCCAAAUACCGUCUUUGUAGUUUAUGCACACCUGAACUGCAAGUACAAAAUCCUUACUUGUUCUACAUUCAUUUGGAGUUCUUGCCAAACAGAAUGACUCCAUUGAACCCCCGCUAUCCAAUUAAUGAAGUGGUGUUUUUACGAGAGCAGGAGAAUUUUAAAUGUGAGCGGAGAAAUGUAGUGCUAGAAGCAACCCUUGACUUGGUCUCGCCCUUAAAAUGUCUAUUGAUUUCUUUUUUCCCCCUUGUCACAUUAUUGGAAUUGUUUCCUUCCUAGCUGUGAUUGAGACAUAUAAAACUUGGAGGAGAGAGAAGGCCUGUGUUUGCUGAGCAUACACUUGUUACACAAGCCUUAACUACUUAAGGCGCUAAUGGAAUAUGUCAAACAAAUGCCAGAUCACUGGUGAUGUCAACACAUUGCAUUGUCAUUGCCGCGCUGAAUUGUAGUUUCUCCAGGCUCAGCCAUUGAUGGAAACUGAAAUUGCAUCAUGCAACUGAGACAUCAUUACCUCUGUGAAAUCAGGGUUAUAUAGUGGAUGGCUUGAAGUGAAUGUCAAGUAGUGUGCAAAAGAGAGUGGUUGAUAAGCUUACAGCCCCCCCCCCAUCCCAAGAACUUUAGAGCAGCCCCGAGACACUGAUUCUGAGCUGUCAAUCUUAUGGUGAACAUUUUUGGGGCCAUGUAACGCUCAAGUUGUUUGUCAGAAACUCCGAGUCAUUAAUCCUUCCUUGACGCUACAUAAUUAAAAUUUGAGAAGGUAUUAUUUUUGGAUUAGUAUUGGAAUUUUAUACAUGAUGUCACUCUGCAAAGAUCUGUUGUAUUAUUUCUAACCCAGCUCACUUAUAAAAAGGAGUGUGUGAGAGAGAGAGACCAUUGCCAAGCAAAUUGGCUGCUGGUGCUAUCAGCAUCCUGCAGUGUUUUUGUUAAUUAUCUUGCCAUAGUUGUCUGAUGCAGAUAACAAUCUUUCCAAAAGAGGAGACAGAUUUAAAGAGGCAGAAUUAAUGAAAAUUGAUUUGUGCAGCCUGUCAUAGCAAGAUCUGUUGGGAGACCCUCCUCCCUGCCAUGAUCCGCAUAGAUGUAAUUCCAGGCACAGGUAGGGUCCCCACUGCAGAAUACUAAUUAUGGUGCCAGGGCACAAUGUGUCUGAUGUGACUGACAGAUGAAUGCAUGAAAAAGUCUUCAGAACUGAGUUCAUUUGUAAAGUAUCCAGGGAGGACAUGGAUCCAGCUACUGGGAGGCUGUAUGAACAAAGCUUAGGAAAAAUGGGGGGGGGGGGAGCCAGACGAUAAAUGUAGUGUUUCUGGGGUAUGUGUGGAUUUCAUACAAACAACUCGUGCAUACAGUGGUAAAUGUGCAUUAGCCUAAGACAUAGCUGUCAAUGUUUUCCUUUUUUUAAGGGGAAUUCCCUUAUUCCUCGCAAGAAAAGGGAAAAGUUGACAGCUAUGGCCUAAGAUAACAUUUUGUAAGAAGAAUUUCACUGGGGUGUCAUGGCUGUGUGCAAGCUAGCAGUAAGCGCAUGGCAAACCAACAGUAGGCACACAACAAACUAACAAUGGAGGAUUGGCCAUCUGUGUAGUAUCUAGGAGACUUAUCAUCCAAGUCUGGAAAGAUAAACACUCAUCAUCUAUUAUGCAGUGGUCUGGGGAAUUUACUGUCCUUGCUACUGCCCUUUGGGGGUGCUAUACUGGGGGUAGAGCAAGGGUGUGGGCUGGCUCGCUUGUGCUAAAAUUGUUGUUCAAUUGGGGUGGGGUUUUAACUUGGCUGGGUGUUGUUUUAUUUGGGGGUGAGGUUGCUUAAAAUUGUUUUAAAUUACAUUUCCAAGCACAAUUCAAAGAGCCCUAAAUGGCCUCGGAGCAGUAUACCUGAAGAAAAAAGUCACAAUAACUUUUAUUUAUUUUAUACAUUUUUUUUAUUUUUUUUAUUUUGAUAAAGUAAUAAUCAUAAAUAAAUAAGAGUCACAAUAACUUUAAACUAAACAACUUAUAUC